rnacentral:misc_RNA from 1 species
AAAAGUCGUAACAAGGUCUCCGUUGGUGAACCAGCGGAGGGAUCAUUAACACGUAUCCACGUAUCAACCAACUGUGAACUUGUUUUCAACACAUAACCUAUUUCACCACACUUUUUGCUAGUUGACUUUUAAUACUGAAGCAAAGACAGCAGCUGCCUGCUGCUUUUUGCCUCACGUUUAAUUAUUUGAACGUUAAAAUUACAACUCUUAGCAAUGGAUAUCUUGGUUCUC